rnacentral:lncRNA from 14 species
GUGCUGUGCCGUUCCGCCCUGGCGCCACGCACCUGCUGUGCCCGCCGAAACUUUUCAAAUCUCCUAGGCAGGAACUGUAGAGCUGCCUGUUCCCACUACUGUGCUCUUUUCAGGAAUAAAACGUGACCCAGGAUUUUGGGUACACGCUGCUGGGGAGGUGGCAGCCAGCAGGCAGCACCUCUUACCUUUCUCAGCAUUUCUCCACGUUAGCGGGGAGUCCACGGAACCAUCACGCGCAGAGCCCGGAGUCUGGAAAGUCACCAGCGGAAGAUAGGCACAAACUUCUCCGGGCGCGCGCCCUCCUCUUCUGCUCGACAAAGGCAAGACCUGCCUGACCACUCGGUCCCCUAGUGGCUGUUGCAACAGUGGCCGGAGUUCUGAUGGGCUAGAAAGGGCGAAUGGUGCAGCUGCCUCAUCGAGACUCUGGCCACUGUCUGAUCUUCUAGGACCAGCCCAGGCUGAGGCAGGUUUCCUCCGCCUGGACUCAGGGAGAGUUCCGAAGGGUUUUUCCUUCCACACUCCGGCCCAGCCUUGCUGCUGAAUAUUCAUAAGAAGGUGUGGUCACUGUCCAUCUCUUUGGGAUCCUCCAGGGUCUCACAUGUAGCAGGAAAGAACUGGGAAAGAUUUGUGUCUGAAGGAAUUGAAGAUGGGAGUAGGGCGGGGGAGACACUAUGGUUGAUACAUAACUGGGAUUUACCUUCUUCUCCCACCUCAGGCUGCACCGGGGUGCUCGCACAGUAUCCGACACCCCUACCCAAUGCUCAGAUGGAGCAAAUGAAGUUUCAAGGACCUGGUGAUCUUCCAGGCAUUUCUCCAUCCUGAAAACUUCGACAUGGGAACCGUCACUUGCUUACCUCAUGGAAUCCAAUCCAGCUGGCCACUUCAGGUUCAUAGGCAAUGACCCCAGAAGGGCGGGCUGAGGCACCUUGCUGUCAUGUGUUCCAAAUACUUUACUCAUUGUCUUCGCUCCUGCUGGAUGGGGUCCAAAACGAGCCUUGAAAGUAGUCUGCCUUUUCAGCGAUACACAGCAUACUACCCAGUGUAAGGGUUGAGCUUAAAUAAAUCUGUGCAGACCUAAGAACAAACCUGUGUAAGGCUCUCCUUCAA